CAAAGUGCACCUUUAGCAAGUGCCAAUUGGGGAAAGUCAAAUUAACUACUUGGCUAGUCUGUACCUUGCAGGCAACAUCUCCAAAUUGCUGGGAUACCCUAAAGCCUUCAGUACAGCUUUUCAUACUGGAAACAGGAGUUAAGCACCAGGUAGUCCCUGGGUAUUGUGACAAUCUGAAGGAUUGUACCCUGAAAAGGGUAAUGGGCAAUCAGCAGCCAACCCCCUAACAGGUCUUUUCAAGUUGAAUUGAUGUCUGAGGGGAGGGGUUCAGAGACUACUGUACCAUUACGACCUUAGGUUCAGUCACGCAUCACGAUUGACCUUGAAUUGAACAUCUGAAGCAUUUUGUAACGUGUCACAACUGGCCGUGAACACCACCAUAUAGCAGGUCAGAGGUUUUACAGGGCCUGCUGGCCUGUUUGGGGUAAAAAAUGAAUUUAUUUAGGUCCCGUCACGCAAAAUUUUUGCCAGUGAACUUGGUCUGGUAUCAUUCACAGCCAUCACGCGUCACACCCUGUGAACCUAAGGUCGUAAUGGUACAGUAAAUGGAGGUGGGCUUUGUUAGCCAAUCCUAUCUUGAUUGAUUCAGAAUCUUGGUAGAGAAAGGAACAGAGCUUAAGAUAUAGUCCUAAUAAUGGGGAAACCCAUGG
rnacentral:ncRNA from 1 species